GACGAACGCUGGCGGCGUGCUUAACACAUGCAAGUCGAACGGAAAGGCCCCUUUUUUGUUACUCGAGUGGCGGACGGGUGAGUAACACUUAAGUAACCUGCCCUUGCCUUAGUGAUGACUUCAUGAAACUGGGUCUGAUACCGAAUUGGAAUCCUUUCUUGAUGGUGGGGGUUGGAAAGCUUCGGGGGGUUUGGAUGGACUGGCGGCUUGUCUGCUUGUUGGUUGGGUAGUGGGUUACCAAGGCUUUGAUGGGUGGCCAGCCUGAGUGGGCGACCGGCCAACUUGGGACUGAGGAAAGGCCCAGACACCUACGGGGGGGAGAAGGGGGGAAGAUUGCCAAAGGGGCGGCAGCCGGAUGCAGCAAAGCCGCGGGCGGGAAGACGGUCUUAGGGUUGUAAAACGGAUUCAGCAGGGGCGGAGCAUGUGGUGACGGUACCUGCAGAAGAAGCACCGGCUAACUACGUG
rnacentral:rRNA from 1 species